UACAGAGGGUGCAAGCGUUGCUCGGAUUUACUGGGCGUAAAGCGUACGCAGACGGUGAGGAAGGUCGGAUGUGAAAGCCCUGGGCUCAACCCAGGAACUGCAUCCGAAACCCCCUCGCUAGAGUAUGGGAGAGGGAAGCGGAAUUCCUGGUGUAGAGGUGAAAUUCGUAGAUAUCAGGAGGAACACCAAUGGCGAAGGCAGCUCGCUGGGACGUGACUGACGCUGAGACGCGAAAGCGUGGGGAGCAAACAGG
rnacentral:rRNA from 1 species